rnacentral:rRNA from 1 species
AUUGAACGCUGGCGGCAGACUUAACACAUGCAAGUCGAGCGAGCGGCGGACGGGUGAGUAAUGUCGGGGAACCUGCCUGAUGGAGGGGGAUAACUACUGGAAACGGUAGCUAAUACCGCAUACCAUCAGAUGUGCCCAGAUGGGAUGAGCUAGUCGGGGGGGUAAAGGCUCACCAAGGCGACGAUCCCUAGCUGGUCUGAGAGGAUGACCGGCCACACUGGGACUGAGACACGGGCCAGACUCCUACGGGAGGCAGCAGUGGGGAAUAUUGCGCAAUGGGCGCAAGCCUGAUGCAGCAAUGCCGCGUGUGUGAAGAAGGCCUUCGGGUUGUAAAGCACUUUCGGCGAGGAGGCGUUACUCGCAGAAGAAGCACCGGCUAACUCCGUGCCAGCAGCCGCGGUAAUAC